rnacentral:rRNA from 1 species
CUACGUGCCAGCAGCCGCGGUAAUACGUAGGGUGCAAGCGUUAAUCGGAAUUACUGGGCGUAAAGAGUGCGCAGGCGGUUUUGCAAGACCGAUGUGAAAUCCCCGGGCUUAACCUGGGAACUGCAUUGGUGACUGCAAGGCUAGAGUGUGCCAGAGGGAGGUGGAAUUCCGCAUGUAGCAGUGAAAUGCGUAGAUAUGCGGAGGAACACCGAUGGCGAAGGCAGCCUCCUGGGAUAACACUGACGCUCAUGCACGAAAGCGUGGGGAGCAAACAGGAUUAGAUACCCUGGUAGUCCACGCCCUAAACGAUGUCUACUAGUUGUCGGGGAUUAAUUUCCUUGGUAACGCAGCUAACGCGUGAAGUAGACCGCCUGGGGAGUACGGUCGCAAGAUUAAAACUCAAAGGAAUUGACGGGGACCCGCACAAGCGGUGGAUGAUGUGGAUUAAUUCGACGCAACGCGAAGAACCUUACCAGGUCUUGACAU